AUACGUAGGGGGCAAGCGUUGUCUGGAAUUAUUGGGCGUAAAGCGCGCGCAGGCGGUUCAUUAAGUCUUCUGUUUAAUUCCGGGGCUCAACCUCGGAUCGCAGAGGAAACUGGUGGACUGGAGUGCAGGAGAGGAAAGUGGAAUUCCACGUGUAGCGGUGAAAUGCGUAGAGAUGUGGAGGAACACCAGUGGCGAAGGCGACUUUCUGGCCUGUAACUGACGCUGAGGCGCGAAAGCGUGGGGAGCAAACAGGAUUAGAUACCCUGGUAGUCCACGCCGUAAACGAUGAGUGCUAGGUGUUAGGGGUUUCGAUACCCUUGGUGCCGAAGUCAACACAGUAAGCACUCCGCCUGGGGAGUACGCUCGCAAGAGUGAA
rnacentral:rRNA from 1 species